rnacentral:rRNA from 1 species
GACCCUAUAGAGUUUGAUAUUUAAUUAAUAAAUUAUUUUUUAGUAUUUAAUAUUAAUUUAUUAAUUAAAUAUUUGAUUGGGGUGAUUGAAAAAUUUGAAUAACUUUUUUUAUAUUUAAACAUUAAUUUAUGAUUAUUUGAUCCAUUAUUUAUGAUUAUAAGAUUAAAUUACCUUAGGGAUAACAGCGUAAUUUUUUUUGAGAGUUCAAAUCGAAAAAAAAGAUUGCGACCUCGAUGUUGGAUUAAAAUUUAUUUUUGGUGUAGAAGCUAAAUUUAUUGGGUCUGUUCGACCUUUAAAAUUUUACAUGAUCUGA